AUUGAACGCUGGCGGCAGGCUUAACACAUGCAAGUCGAGCGAGCGGCGGACGGGUGAGUAAUGUCUGGGAAACUGCCUGAUGGAGGGGGAUAACUACUGGAAACGGUAGCUAAUACCGCAUACCAUCAGAUGUGCCCAGAUGGGAUUAGCUAGUCGGUGGGGUAAUAGCUCACCAAGGCGACGAUCCCUAUCUGGUCUGAGAGGAUGACCAGAACCACUGGGACUGAGACACGGUCCAGACUCCUACGGGAGGCAGCAGUGGGGAAUAUGGCACAAUGGGCGCAAGCCUGAUGCAGCCAUGCCGCGUGUGUGAAUAAGGCCUUCGGGUUGUAAAGCACUUUCAGCGGGGAGGCGUUACUCGCAGAAGAAGCACCGGCUAACGCCGUGCCAGCAGCCGCGGUAAUUC
rnacentral:rRNA from 1 species